CACUGCCUCCCUCCGCUACUGCAGCCUGGUCGCGAGGAGCUGUACCAAUUCACUUAUUAUUAGCGAUAUAUCAGAAAUGAUAAACAAUUUGCCAUUUUAAAACCAGGGAAUAGUCCGUCGUUGGAUACCACCACCCUCUGCAAAAUGCAGGCCAUCAAAUGCGUCGUGGUGGGCGAUGGAGCGGUGGGGAAGACAUGUCUUCUCAUCAGCUACACCACCAAUGCCUUCCCUGGAGAAUACAUCCCCACAGUGUUUGACAACUACUCUGCCAAUGUGAUGGUAGAUG